rnacentral:rRNA from 1 species
AUGGCUCAGGACGAACGCUGGCGGCGUGCUUAACACAUGCAAGUCGAACGGGGAUUACCGGGCGGAAGGCUUCGGCCGGAAGGCAGGUAAUUCGAGUGGCGGACGGGUGAGUAACGCGUGAACAAUCUGUCCCAGACAGGGGGAUAACACUUGGAAACAGGUGCUAAUACCGCGUAAGACCACGUUGUCGCAUGGCGAUGGGGUAAAAGGAGCAAUCCGGUUUGGGGUGAGUUCGCGUCCGAUUAGAUAGUUGGUGAGGUAACGGCCCACCAAGUCGACGAUCGGUAGCCGAUCUGAGAGGAUGACCGGCCACAUUGGAACUGAGAGACGGUCCAAACUCCUACGGGAGGCAGCAGUGGGGAAUAUUGGGCAAUGGGCGAAAGCCCUGACCCAGCAACGCCGCGUGAGUGAAGAAGGCUUUCGGGUUGUAAAGCUCUGUUAUAGGGGACGAAGUGCGUGACGGUACCCUAUAAGGAAGCCCCGGCUAACUACGUGCCAGCCGCCGC